AUUUCCGGCGGGGCCUCCCAGCUGGAAGAGGCGGUGGCGGCGGGUCGGGGUGAGGGUCUUGCUCUGUUGCCUGGACUGGAGUGCAGUGCCACGAUCUUGGCUCACUGCAGCGUUGACCUCCUGGGCUCAAGCAGUCCUCCCACCCCAGCCUCUGAGUCGCUGGGACUACAAGUGCAUGCUGCCACACCAGGAGCUUCCCAGCAGGUAGCGUGUCCCUGUGGACCCUCAACCCAAACAGGCCUUUCCCUGCAUUCUCUGGUGUUUGUGGGCUGGAGUCCCUGGCAGGAGGACUGGGCAGAGAGAUCCCAGAGUCCAAGAAAGGAGAGGUGACUUUAGGCUGAGGGGAUCUGGCGGUGGAGCGCUAGGAUCAGACGCCCCCGCAAUGACCAGCUCCCCCGUCUCCAGAGUCGUGUACAACGGCAAGAGGACCAGCAGCCCCCGCUCCCCACCCAGCAGCAGCGAGAUCUUCACCCCAGCCCACGAGGAGAACGUCCGCUUCAUUUACGAAGCCUGGCAGGGCGUGGAGCGAGACCUGCGAAGCCAGGUGCCGGGCGGCGAGCGGGGUCUGGUGGAGGAGUAUGUGGAGAAGGUCCCUAACCCCAGCCUGAAGACCUUCAAGCCCAUCGACCUGAGUGACCUGAAGCGCCGGAGCACGCAGGAUGCCAAGAAGUCCUAGAGCGCCCAGCGCCCCUCCCCGGCCUCUGGAAGAUCAGGGUGCGAGGUGUCGGCUCCCUCCUGUCCUGUGGCCCUGCUCCUGGGAUGGGGGUGUCUUGCUCCAGCGGGCUGCAGACCGCAGCACCGGUGUGACUGACGGCUGAGGCCUCUCUCUCCUUCCCAAGUCCCCUCCUUCCUCCUUGGGGGUCUCAGGCUGCCCCCAUCAUGGGGGUCUGGGCCCUCCCCACCCUCCUGCCCUCCCCCAGCCACCUGGCUGUGUUUUUGAAGCUGCCUGGCCCCCAGGGACCCUGGCCUGCCCUCUUUCCUCUCCCCUCACCCUCCUGUCCUUGGCCACUGCAGAAUCAGGAGGGGAGCAGAAGGAGCCUCUGCUGCCCCCCAGGCUGCUGGGACUGGGCUGGUUUUGUCCUUGAAAUGGCCAGGAUACAGGACAAGGGCAGCCCCACCCCAUCCAACUUGGGACCCCCCCACAGACCCUUGCUGCUCCUGUGGCCUGGACACGCUGGGGAGCUUCUCACACCUACCCCUACUGUCCAGCCUGGCCCGUUCCCUGAAUCAGCUUCAAGAUGGCACCAGCUCUUUGGGCCUAGGAUACUGCCGGGCCCCCCAAAGGGGGUCCCCAGCAGCCAGGCCUGGCCUCCUGGUAUCUGUGGUCAUAGUGGCCCAUGGGUAGGGGCACCCAGGCUGACCCUGAGGUGCUGCUGCUGGGUCUGUCUUGGCUCUGGGGUAUGCUGGGAGGGUCACCAGGUCCCUUUUUCUUCCUGUGCCCUCUGAAAGCCAAGUGUCUGUGUGGCUGUGGAGCUCCAGGGUCUGUUAAUAAAGGCAGCGGCACUGG
rnacentral:lncRNA from 1 species